GACAGAGGAGGCAAGCGUUGUCCGGAUUGACUGGGCGUAAAGCGUCCGCAGGUGGUCGCGCAAGUGCGCUGUGAAAGCGGCCCGCUCAACGGGCCGAGGCCAGCGCAGACUGCGCAACUCGAGGUCGGGAGAGGUCGGUGGAAUUGCCGGUGUAGUGGUGAAAUUCGUAGAUAUUGGGAAGAACACCGGUGGCGAAGGCGGCCAUCUGGACCGGCACUGACGCUGAGGCGCGAAAAGCGUGGGGAGCAAACAGGG
rnacentral:rRNA from 1 species